AUAAAUUCAGAACAGUUAAACUGUGAGCUGACAUAUAGAGGGAUAAAAUAUCAUAAGUAUUUCCUUGGCAAUGGGAAUAUUAGAUUUACCAGAUAGACUAUUAUUCACAUUUUCCAAAAGAGGAUGCAUGAGAAACUAACAGAGGAGAUAUUAGAGAGAAUAAAAGAAACACACCACUCUUUCUUAUUAGUGUUGUGACUCCUACUCUGGCCCCACCUCCUCCUGGGCAAUCAGCUCAACCACCACCACCUGGGCCCUCUCCUGCAGCUGCACCCAAUCCGCCCAAACGACUCUGCACCCAUAAAAGGCCCCUAUGCACUCAGGCCAGUGCUUGAUCUUACUGAUGUUUUUGGCAACACGUCCCGUGGACCCAGCAUCUCUCCAGGCUCCCCAGCGACUCCCUGCGUCUCCCUGCGUCUUCCAGAGACUCCUCUGCAACCUUCCUAGCCCCUCUUCCUCUGACCUCUUCCUCGGACGGAUUUCUCCUAUCCUCUGGACACUUGGACUCUCCCACAGACUCUCGCCCCUGGAUCUCGAACUUGGUUCGUCUGCCGCAUCACGCACCUAUAGUUUGUCUCGGCCUCUCUCAUUUUGUUUCUUCCCUCCUGGUUUUUUUGCUUCAUUAAACCUUCAGAGUUUACUUUUUUAAUUCCCGUGUCUGUCUGCCUUCUUUGGGGUUCCGCCACACUUGACCGCCAGUCCUCUCGAGCGUAACAAUUAGUCUCUUAUUAGACAGCUGUGCUAUCUUGCACUUAACAUCAUAAUAGUUUGUUUCAGGAAACUUGAGAUAAUUAUAAUUAGAUAAUAAUUAUUGAUAAUUAUCAAAAGCUUAAACUAAUUUUAUCAUUUGAAAUAACCGAAGUAGUACAAUGAUGUAGCACAAAGAUGUACAGACAUCAAAUCAAUCUUUAUUUAUAUAGCGUCUUUUACAAUCAAAAUAGUUUCAGGGCACUUUCCAGAAUCCCAGGGCAUAACCCCAAACAAGAAAAACUCCCCUUUAACAGGAAGAAACCUUGAGCAGGACCAGGCUCAUGUAGGGGGACCCUCCUGCUGAUGGCCGGCUGGGUAGAGAGAGAGGAGAGGGGGAGGACAGGUAGAGGAGAGGAGAGGAGAGGAAACCAUGACCCAGUGGGGUGACAGAGGCCUGUCAGGUGAUCAUGUUUCUGUGCAUCAUCAUUCUGUUUAAGGAUGGUUUUUCCAUAAAACAGAGGUGGUAGGCUUCCUAUCACCCACGUACAAUGCAGUCCUCCACUCCUUCCAACAACAAACCAAACGUUCACACCAUUCCAGGAGACCUGGUGACUCACCACCAAGUGAUCCAGCAGACAAAGGGGAGACACCUCAACCGAAACUAGGUGAACGACCCUACCAACAACCCUGCCAACGACUCUCAGGUGACCACUCAGAUCAUUAACAUGCCAAUGGUCCACAGGGGCUAUAUUUUUCAAGCUCUGUCCUCAGCGAGUUCAGAACUGAAGAAGCCUUCUGGAUAGAAGGCGCAAUGUCUUCAGAGAGAAGAAACACAGUCCAGUUGACAGAGAAAACUACCUUGGAUAUGAUGACCUGGAUGAUUGAGAAUCUACACAGACAAUAACAUGGAUAGACAGUUAGCAGCCUGCUCCAGUUCCUCUCCCACGAGAGUAUUGUGCGAAAGGAGCAAUACAACUAGCCACAUACCUGGCAGCAACAAAUAAUAACAUGGAUAGACAGUUAGC
rnacentral:lncRNA from 1 species